CCCUUAGAUGUCCUGGGCUGCACGCGCGCUACACUGAUGUGUCCAGUAAGCACCUAACCUAUUCCGAGAGGAGCGGGUAACCUUAGCAAAGCACAUCGUGAUGGGGAUAGAUUAUUGCAAUUAUUAGUCUUGAACGAGGAAUUCCUAGUAAGCACAAGUCAUCAGCUUGUGUUGAUUACGUCCCUGCCCUUUGUACACACCGCCCGUCGCUCCUACCGAUUGAAUGUUCCGGUGAGCUCUUCGGACUGCGCGGUCUGCAGUUUCUGCGUUCCGUGCGGAAAGUUGUUCAAACCUUAACAUUUAGAGGAAGGAGAAGUCGUAACA
rnacentral:rRNA from 1 species